GGGCGCCGCGAAAGGCGCUGCUUUUCUUGGCGACGUCCUCCUCGUCGGUCCGCGGGAUAAAGGCUCGUUCGUUACUACGUGCCCUCUGAUGUUAAAAUGUCCCUAAAUAGCCGAGUGAUGGCUCUGAAAGGAUCCUUCCCCAGAACCAGCUACAGAACCGAGCCGGGCGUUGUAGCUCCGCGUAAGGAAGCCGACAAAUGCAGUUCAAGAAGCAGAGGAUAGCGCUACUUGUUAUGAAUAGAAAUGGAUCUACAUCUGAUAGGAAUGAAAAGAAUUUUCUAGAAGAGAACUAGAGUCCCAGCAAAAUGUGAGUGAUGUCACUCAAGUACGAACCGUCCUCCAGCCCAGCUGUGUACUUUUGUCUUGCAUCAUGAAGGAAGGAGCAGGAUCACAGGAAGGAAGGGGAAUGGUGGAGUGGAUUGAUAAGUUGGUCAUCUUACUCCGACAACACACAUGAAAGACCAUUUCAUGCUGCAAAAGACUGCAAGCAAUCGGAGACCCUUCUUCCUAAUAAUCUUGGGUACAGCUGUUGACCUACUCCAAAUACUAUUUUCUAUCCCUGGAAUGAAGUUUUGCCACAACUGUAAGACCUAUGCUGUUGCUGAUGAAGAUUUUGUUACCACUCUGUUGGUGUGCUUGCUGCUAAACCGGUGAGCCCAAGUUGUACAACAGACAUAUUUUUGUAAUCCAACCUGCAAUAGAACUUCCUGCUGAAAAUCUAUACGUACAAAGCCAGCAGCUUCUGCAUAAGGCUCCUGCAAAACUAGUAUGACAUGAGCUUUGCUGUACAGCCAUUAGAAGUGAUAAAUUCUGCUGACAGCUUAAUAAAUACAGC
rnacentral:lncRNA from 1 species